rnacentral:misc_RNA from 1 species
AUAUUCAAAUCUAUCUUGAAUUUUUCUGUCCCAUUUUUAAUAAGAGUUUAUUUUGUUUUGUUUUUAUUUUUAUGGAGUUGUUCCUCCUAAUUAAUGAUUUAUUUUAUUUUUUUUUAUAGAGUGAUUAGUUAUGCUAUUUUAUUAUUUUGAACAUAAGUGUGGUACAAGGUUCAAAUCUUUUUCUCUAAUAUAAUAGGAAGUCAAAAUUUGAAGGUUAUCAAAUUAUGCUCGUAGAAAGGUCAUUGAGUUAAAUAGUGGUAAAAGAUAGUUAUAAAUGUAUUGUGCUUUUUGUCGAUCGAUCAAAUUAAAUGCUCUGUCAAUAUAA